GUACAACUCUGUGAGUGAGGCUGAGGCACAAUUGUGAUCAUGCUGCUCUGUAUCUGCUGCCCGCAGCUGGGAUUCUCACACCAGGGACACUUCACCUAAAUGCAACACCAAGCUCCAUGGUGGAAGAGUCAAUUCAUGCUGAGUCCUGGAUGGAUUCCCCAGCUGUUGAAGCCAGUGGAGCUGGGGAUCCCAAUGUGCCUGCCUGGAGCAGCAGCAGCAAACAGGGAAGGUGGAACAAGCUGUGCUUCACCUGCAGCAUGGCCCCAUGGCAAAGGGGCUGCCUGCUCUGGGAAACACUUGGGACUAUUUACAGCAUGCACAGGGAGAGGAUUCAGAGAAGCUGGAGAAGUUUUGUAAAGCACAGGAGAGAGGAAAAUCAAAUGGCCUGCUUGGAGGAUUUAUUGGGAAGUGUAACUGAGAUCCCUUUUUAACUCAGAUUUGUCUGUCAGCAUGGGAUAAAAUCUGGUUUGUGCUACAGCAGUUAUUAAUAGAAGAAUCACAUUUCCUUAGAAAAAAGGAGAAGCAAGAGGGUAAUUUUGGCCAAGUUUGCCAAAGCAAAUUGCAAAGAUUUGCAAUUAAUCUUGAGAGGAAUGUAUUAGAUUUUUAUUUUAAAGAUCAGAUUAUAGAGGAGAUCUGCUAGAUUUGUACAAUAUUUAUUCAAGUACAUAUACAGAGAGGAGAAAACAAUGUAUCUGCAUCUGUAUGCACUCUUGUCACUUAAUAUUCUGAAAUUCAAUAUUUAGGGAUGAAACACUAUAUUCAACACCCUCAUCCUCUCAGGUCCAGCAUAGCUUUGGGAAGUUGGCAUUCCUUGUCACAAAGUGUUCAUUUUUAGAGUGCCAGUUUGGGUUGCAGUGACCUGCUGUGAGUGUGCCCAGCUUGGCUGGGGUGGGAAGGGGCUCUGCCUCGGGGACGUGCACCCUGCCACCACCACUGCUCCUGCUGCCCUGCAGCCAGGUGGAAAGCUGGCCGAUGACAGCAGCCACCCUGCUGGCUCUUUCUCUGUAUUAUCAGAACAGAGAUUAUUAUUAUUAUUGUCCUGUAUUAUCAGGACAGAGAGAUCCCACUAAGGACACCUCCAGUCUCAUCUCCAGCACCAUUCAGCAAUCCAGCCAGUUUUGGGGGUGAGAAAGAUUUCUUCCCUUAUUUGCAACUUUCUUUCCUUCUCUUGCCCAUACUUCCUGCUUUUCACAGCCGUAGUUGUAAAAGAAUUUCAGGAAGUGAAUCUAUUAUCAGUCUUUACAGAUGUUUCUUCAACUUCUUGCCCCUUUCUGAAGCAAAUCUGUUUCCUUUGAAGAUGCAGUGCCCCUUUCCACGGCCCCGGUGGGAGUUCAGCAUCCCCUGAGCAGGGCUGUGACUGGCCUCAGGAACACCCUGGUGAAGUUCUGGCUGGACAUGUGCUGCUGUGUUCCUGUCUGCUCAGGAAAAGUGUGACACUGUGGUUUCCUUCGUAAGAAACGUAUCUCUGUUGAGAAGGAAACAUACUUCCUUUAGAAAAACGGUGUCACGAAGAAACCCACAGGCCAUUCAGAGCAGGGCUGUGUGUGCCAAGGCCUGUGCCCCGUCCCCCCGGGCACGGCCUGUGCUGGGUCAGUGUGCCACGAGAACCGUGUCACCCAGCACAGGUGACUGCCCUGCCUUUCUGUGCCAUGCUCUCCCUCUCAGCAAACUCCAGGAUGCUGGACAAAAGAAAAGGGAUUACUGUGCAGAGGAAGAAGUAAAGCAAGGAAGAGUGAAAUUAGUAGGAAAGAAAUGGCAGAGUGCAAUGUAAGAUUCAGGUCUCCUGAGACUGUUUUUUGUGCUGCUCUGUUACAUCCUACUGCCAUUUAUGAUGAUCCUUUUCUAGAAAUAGAUGGUGAAUUGGAGCAAUAGAGAUGAGGUUUAAUUUAUGUAUUGGCUAGUGACGUUCAUCUGUUUUUUGUUGGUUGCAUUGUCCAAGGUGCCAAAAAUAUCCUUUUCCUAGAAGAUAUUUCUAAACCGUUUAUCAGUUUAAAAACGUCAAAGAUGAGCAAAUCAGUUGGGAUAUUUAAUUUUUGCAUAGUCAUUCAGCAAAGAUCACUGCAAAGGCUUUAUCCUCCACAGUUUUUAAUUUCAUGUAGAUAAGCAAAAGCUACAUUAAUCUUUUCCCUGUUGUGCUUAGCAGGGGUCACCAUACCCAUUAACUUUUUGACCCACGUGUGUCUCAGCCUGGUUGGUUUGGGGCUGUGCAGUGAGGUACCAGUGGGAGAUCUUGGAGCUAUUGGUGCAAACACCUUAUGUAUCCAGGUUCUCUAGAGAGCAGAAGAAAUUGCUUUACUUUAAUCUCCUCAUUCAGUGUGAAAAAAAAAAAUUAUAAUCUGAAAAUCAAAAUUUACAAAUACAGUCUUGGCAAGAUUGAUCAUCCUGUGUUUUCGUCAUGGUGAUUUUAAUAAUGAAAUUUGUUUAUUAUUAUUGCUACAAGUAUUGGGGAAUUUUCUUCUGCAAAAUGCAUCUCUUAAUUCAGCACUCAGCAAUCACCACUUCUCUCUAAAUCUGUGGUAUCUUGCCUGCUAAUACAAGAUAAACCUGUGGCAUAAAGAGGCAGGAAUAACAGGAUCAGUAAAGAACUACAUUUGGAUUAGAGUCUCUUGAUACCUUUUGCUUUUAUCUGUAUGCCAUUGGUAUAAAUGAUCAUUAUCAUAAUUAAACAAAAAGGCACAGUGUGAAUUUUUUAUUCCCUUGAUGAUGCCACAGAAACAAUAUAUAUGAAAUAAAUGUGAGAGUUGCUAUAAAGUCAACUUCCACAGUAGCUUUUAAACUUUGCUGCAGAAGUCUUUGGUGGUUGUGCCAUUCAUAGUGAAUAAAUCUCUUGCUUUUUAAUUCAUCGUAUAUUUUGGAGCUAUGAAAUUAAUAUUUACAGCUGUGUUAUUGUAUUGCUGUGUUAUUCAUUACUGUACUAAUGAAUAGUUCAUCAUCAAUAGAAAUAACAUUAUAUUCUCCUACAGCUUACUUAGUCAAUGCUAUUUAUUUCUAUUAUGUUAUUUCAGAAAUCCUCACCUUAACAGCACUUGGAAAUCUGUAAAUAUUAUGGUGCUUUUGGGCAGGACUUGAAAUGCUCAGUAGCUUCAGAAUUACAGACCAGUUUCCCUUUGUUAGAAUAUGUGAGCUACACAUAAUUUUAAAUAAAAUUAGUAUACCAGGUGUCAUGUGUAGAGCAGGGUGUGUCUUAACACAUUGUAUGAAAUGUGGUAUUUUAGACAAUAUUUCACUCCAAAGAGAUAUUUCAUUUAAACCCUUGAUGAUUUUGUAUUUGCCUCUUAUU